rnacentral:misc_RNA from 1 species
AAGUGGUAACAAGGUUUCCGUAGGUGAACCUGCGGAAGGAUCAUUAACACGUAUCCAAACGUAAAAAACCCCCCCCCGUGAACAUUCAAUCUUGCUCUUGUAACCCGCGUGGUUCGCAAUCUCUGGUAAAUCAUAGCCCGGAAAGUAGUUUUGAUUCAGAGACCGCUGGCUACGUGAGAACAUUGGAACAGUUACAAUCGAGCGGUAGUUUCAUAGGCAUUGUUUCCCCAAGCAGUUAGUGUCUGAAAGUGUCACUAACGAUUCCUGUAGACCGUACACUCGGGCAGGAGCUAUGCCAAAGGGUCCCCAUGCCCCCUUAUAACCCCACAGUUUAAUGUGAAGCUCAAUGUAAUACAUUGGGUAAAAAAACCGAACAACUGUUAACAAUGGAUAUCUUGGUUCUC